rnacentral:rRNA from 1 species
AGAGUUUGAUCCUGGCUCAGAACGAACGCUGGCGGCAGGCCUAACACAUGCAAGUCGAGCGCCCAGCAAUGGGGGCGGCAGACGGGUGAGUAACGCGUGGGUAUCUACCUAGUGGUGCGGAAUAGCCCAGGGAAACUUGGAGUAAUACCGCAUAAGCCCGAAAGGGGAAAGAUUUAUCGCCAUUAGAUGAGCCCGCGUUGGAUUAGCUAGUUGGUGGGGUAAUGGCCCACCAAGGCGACGAUGGGUAGGGGUCCUGAGAGGGAGAUCCCCCACACUGGUACUGAGACACGGACCAGACUCCUACGGGAGGCAGCAGUGAGGAAUAUUGGUCAAUGGGCGCAAGCCUGAACCAGCCAUGCCGCGUGCAGGAUGACGGUCCUAUGGAUUGUAAACUGCUUUUGUACAGGAAGAAACACUCCCUCGUGAGGGAGCUUGACGGUACUGUAAGAAUAAGGAUCGGCUAACUCCGUGCCAGCAGCCGCGGUAAUACGGAGGAUCCAAGCGUUAUCCGGAAUCAUUGGGUUUAAAGGGUCCGUAGCGGUUUUAUAAGUCAGUGGUGAAAUCUGGUCGCUCAACGAUCAAACGGCCAUUGAUACUGUAAGACUUGAAUUACUUGGAAGUAACUAGAAUAUGUAGUGUAGCGGUGAAAUGCAUAGAUAUUACUUAGAACACCAAUUGCGAAGGCAGGUUACUAAGCAACAACUGACGCUGAUGGACGAAAGCGUGGGGAGCGAACAGGAUUAGAUACCCUGGUAGUCCACGCCGUAAACGAUGCUAACUCGUUUUUGGGUUUUCGGAUUCAGAGACUAAGCGAAAGUGAUAAGUUAGCCACCUGGGGAGUACGAACGCAAGUUUGAAACUCAAAGGAAUUGACGGGGGCCCGCACAAGCGGUGGAUUAUGUGGUUUAAUUCGAUGAUACGCGAGGAACCUUACCAAGGCUUAAAUGGGAAAUGACAGGUUUAGAAAUAGACUUUUCUUCGGACAUUUUUCAAGGUGCUGCAUGGUUGUCGUCAGCUCGUGCCGUGAGGUGUUAGGUUAAGUCCUGCAACGAGCGCAACCCCUGUCACUAGUUGCCAUCAUUAAGUUGGGGACUCUAGUGAGACUGCCUACGCAAGUAGAGAGGAAGGUGGGGAUGACGUCAAAUCAUCACGGCCCUUACGCCUUGGGCCACACACGUAAUACAAUGGCCGGUACAGAGGGCAGCUACACAGUGAUGUGAUGCAAAUCUCGAAAGCCGGUCUCAGUUCGGAUUGGAGUCUGCAACUCGACUCUAUGAAGCUGGAAUCGCUAGUAAUCGCGCAUCAGCCAUGGCGCGGUGAAUACGUUCCCGGGCCUUGUACACACCGCCCGUCAAGCCAUGGAAGUCUGGGGUACCUGAAGUCGGUGACCGUAACAGGAGCUGCCUAGGGUAAAACAGGUAACUAGGGCUAAGUCGUAACAAGGUAGCCGU